GAAUCUUGCGCAAUGGGCGAAAGCCUGACGCAGCGACGCCGCGUGAGCGAUGAAGGCCCUCAGGUUGUAAAGCUCUGUGGGGAGGGACGAAUAAGCCUAGGUUAAUACCUCUAGGUGAUGACGGUACCUCCUUAGCAAGCCCCGGCUAACUCUGUUCCAGCCGCCGCGGUAAUACAGAGGGUGCAAACGUUGUUCGGAAUUACUGGGCGUAAAGCGCGUGUAGGCGGCUAUGCAAGUCGGGCGUGAAAGCCCACGGCUCAACCGUGGAAGUGCACUCGAAACUGCGUAGCUAGAGUCCCGGAGAGGAAGGUGGAAUACUUGGUGUAGAGGUGAAAUUCGUAGAUAUCAAGUGGAACACCGGUGGCGAAGGCGGCCUUCUGGACGGUGACUGACGCUGAGACGCGAAAGCGUGGGGAGCAAACAGG
rnacentral:rRNA from 1 species